GGGGCCAUAGCUCAGUUGGGAGAGCGCCAGCAUGGCAUGCUGGAGGUCACGGGUUCGAGCCCCGUUGGCUCCA
rnacentral:tRNA from 1 species